rnacentral:rRNA from 1 species
AGGAUGAACGCUGGCGGCGUGCCUAACACAUGCAAGUCGAACGUCCUUGCUCGCAAGAGCAAGGGAGUGGCGGACGGGUGAGCAACACGUGGGUGAUCUACCGUGAGGUGAGGAAUACCGGCGAGAAAUCGCCGACAAGACCGCAUAACCUCGGUGCAAGCCGAGGAAAGCUCUCGCAAGGGAGCGCCACACGAGGAGCCUGCGCCCGAUUAGCUAGCUGGUGGAGUAACGGUUCACCAGGGCGACGAUCGGUAGC